GAUGAACGCUGGCGGCGUGCCUAAUACAUGCAAGUCGAGCGAACGGACGAGAAGCUUGCUUCUCUGAUGUUAGCGGCGGACGGGCGAGUAACACGUGGAUAACCUACCUAUAAGACUGGGAUAACUUCGGGAAACCGUAGCUAAUACCGGAUAAUAUUUUGAACCGCAUGGUUCAAAAGUGACAGACGGUCUUGCUGUCACUUAUAGAUGGAUCCGCGCUGCAUUAGCUAGUUGGUAAGGUAACGGCUUACCAAGGCAACGAUGCAUAGCCGACCUGAGAGGGUGAUCGGCCACACUGGAACUGAGACACGGUCCAGACUCCUACGGGAGGCAGCAGUAGGGAAUCUUCCGCAAUGGGCGAAAGCCUGACGGAGCAACGCCGCGUGAGUGAUGAAGGUCUUCGGAUCGUAAAACUCUGUUAUUAGGGAAGAACAUAUGUGUAAGUAACUGUGCACAUCUUGACGGUACCUAAUCAGAAAGCCACGGCUAACUACGUG
rnacentral:rRNA from 1 species